rnacentral:lncRNA from 1 species
AGAACUACAACAAAGUUUUCAGUGGGUUCGGCACCGAUCUCGCCGACUUUCCCACUAGGUCUAAAUUAGGCAUAAUAGAAGAAAGAAUAGAUAAUAACCAACUAACAGAUGCAGUUAAUAUGCCUGAACGAUAAGUAAUACUAUGAUCGAUAGAAUGCUCAUGAUGAAUGCAAGAUUAACUUUUCAUUACCCAAUCUCAUGGCUAGCCCGUAGGUUUCGCACUCACAAACUCACCAACCCAAAUCCCUAUUGUCGGGGAGAUAACCGCUACAACCCGACGGGACCGCCCUCUGGGGAGAUAACUGCUACGAUCCAGUGAUGACAACUCCGGAGCACAUCGCCCGAGGCGGAGCUACCGCCCUCGAGCAAGGACUAUUAGGUGAGUACGAUCAAUCCUUAACUUUAAGGAUUUUAAGUUCAAUCCAUUCCUUGACUUCAAGGAGAACCAUGUACAUAUGACCCUUAAUUCUAAGUUGUUUAUGUCAUAAUGUCACUACUUGUUCUUGUUCUUUGUCAAUGAUGCCACACUUGUUUUCUAAGUCCUCUAGUCUCAUCAAUGUCACUUGCUAAAUCUAUGUCAACAUGUCACAUUUGUUUACUAACCCUUCUAGGUUCUUAUCCCUUGUCGUGCAUAUAUAGGGUUACCAAUUCUCAUUCAUUUACUACUAUUUCUCAAGCAUUAGAACUCAUAUCAUGUAAGGAAAAUUUACAAUUAACCCUACUAUGCAACAUGUUCAAUAUAAAUACAUAUACUCAAAUAUGACGCUUUAGAUAUAAAGGGAUUUUCGAUGUCCUUGGAAUGCACCACCCACCUUAGAUGGUCACAAGGAUGCUACGGUGAAUUUUUUGGAAUUUUUGAAGCCCUAGUCCGCGUGCUGCGGCUAUCUGUACGGAAAAUGACGUUUUUGUUAAUAACUUUGCGUACACUCGUCGGAUUGUCGAACCGAGUGUUCCAACGCGUUUAAAAUAUCCUAAAUUAGGUUUCUACAUGAUCAAAAUAGAUCAAAACCCAACUUGGGCAAAACCCCUCUUUGGGAUGCCCUAAUAUGUUAUUUUUUCAUUUCUCCGAGAUUGAUCUCAUUCCUAAGCAAAAGAUAGCUUAGAUUCACAUGGGAAGCUCUCUAAUAAGGUUUCUAAGCUUUUAGAACCAUCCCUAGGGCAUCUACUUUGAGCCCUAGUGAUCCACCAUGAAAGGGGUCUAAAAAAUCCAUAUUUUUUAUGGAGUCAUGGUCUUUAGAGGAUUUCCUCACUUGUAGAGAGAUCAAAACCCAAAAAUCUAAGGUCUAAACCCAAAUCCUAAACUCAUUUUUGCAUAAGGACUCACCUUUGCCUAAGCUCCACCAAAGCCUACUUGUUGGAGAGCUUCUAGGACCACCAAAGCCACCAAAAUCCACUUCUCCAAGCUCUUCUCCACCUUCUCCAAGCUCUAGGGCUUGCUUUCUAGAGAGAGAAAGAGAGGAAAAUGAGAGAGAGGAUGAAAUGGGUGUUGGCUGUGAGGGGAAGGGGUAUUGGGCUAUUAACAUGUUGUAACAUUUGCCAAAAAACCCUCCCAAUCUUUAUAUUUUGCAGCAGACCUCGUUUUGCUGUCGGGCCCAAAGUGUACCGGUACACUUUUUCGUGUCACCGGUUACACGACCACGCAGAGGCAAACCCGAGAGCAAAUCUGUCGGUUUCGCCCAAAGUGUACCGGUACACUUUUUCGUGUCACCAGUUUCAGCAUGUGUAACCGGUGACAGGUCGCUUGCUGUACCGGUACACAUUGCUCCAGACCUGAUUUUGGUUCCGUUUCAAUUCUAUUUUGCGCCGAUCGAUGCCAAAACCCUUCUAAUACUUCUAGAACUCAUUUUUAACCCUCCCAACAGUGUUGGUAGGUUAAUUGGAACUCGCCCAAUUAAUCCAUUCGCGCACUUUAGUCAGUUUGCCUAAAGUUCGUCAUUUUCUAUCUAGGUUUCAAUACGUUACACCAAGGGUGGGGGAGACCGCCGCGAGCAGCGUGAUCACAAGGGCGAAGAGCGAAAAGGCCCUCCGCAGAAGAAGAAGAUCUCUUGCUAUGUCUGCGGGGGUGAUCACUGGGUGAGAGAUUGCCCAAAGAAGAAGACCGUCAAUGCCAUCCAAGCCGAGGAGAGCGAGGAACAAGCGGAGACAAGGAUGGGCGCGCUAAGCCUCGUCAACGCAGUUCGCGGUCAGCCAAGCGGCGACAAGCUCCGCAGGAGAGAGCUCAUGUUCGUCAAUGUGAUCCUCAACGGGAGGACCACGCGGGCGAUGAUCGACACCGGUGCGACGCACAAUUUUGUCGCGGAGGUGGAGGCCAAGCGGUUGGGCCUCACACUCGAGAAGGAUGCGAGCCGUAUCAAGGCGGUCAACUCUGAGCCGCGGCCAAUCGCGGGAGUUGCCAAGGACGUGGAGAUAGCCAUCGGCCCGUGGAGGGGUAAGGCCAAUCUCACUGUCGGGCCGCUCGACGAGUUUGGAGUCAUCCUCGGGAUGGAUUUUCUUGUUUCGUCGAAGGCGACGCCUAUGCCACACUUGUGGGUGCUAAGCUUCAUGGACGAGUCAGCACCAUGCAUGGUUCCGAUGUGUCGAGGCGAGCCGACGAAGGGCCAAACUCUGACAGCCCUGCAACUUUACGAGGAGGCAAAGUGCAGGAAGGCUAAGGGCCUCGAGGAGGAGGGACUGAGCAGCGGCGAGACUGUCGAGUCUCAGGUGGUGCUGAAGCGGCCAGCACCCAAUCAAGGUACAAGUUAUUCUGUCAAGAAGGAGUCCGAAGAGUCCAAGGGGCGUUCUGUGGCUUAGCGGAGUGCGCGUGCGUGUCGCGGAGGACAUGCACCUUUGGCGGAUUCUUCGCACAGCAGGCUUGCUGGUGCACAUGCUCAGAAGGGCAAGGCGCUAGGAGCGGGUACGGGGACAGAUGCGAACUACAGGAGCAAGGCACGGGGCCGAUCGCGCGCGAAAGCACGACGAACCGCGCGAAAGGCUAUGCGGAUCAAGAGCGACUCGGCGCGCGACAAGGGCGUCUGCGCAUUUGGUGGGGGAGAAUGUCACGGACAAAAUAUUUUUCGCUGACUUUUCCUCGACAGUGGGCCAUUCUCCGAAGGAGCAUUCUGACGGAGGUUUUACUCGGGCAUUCUAGAAGUUUCUACAUGGAUCUCGAGGCUGAUUGGCACGGAUGCCGAGGAGUCAUGAGUCCCUUGGGGUUUCUAGGUAGCCCAUUAAUGUACUUAGAGUUUCUAGGUAGUAAUAAAUGUAUUACUCUUAGAGUUUCUAUGCAUAUUUAUUAUGACUCUUGGGAGACCGUAGCGUACUUAUUGGCCUCCCCUUUUGGCUAGUAGUAUUGUGCCACUUGGCACCUUUUCAUUGGCUUUAUGGGCGGCGAGUGGCCUAUAAAUAGUGUGGCCUCCACCCCCUCUCAUUUCAAAAUCCUCAUUUGUAUUCUCAAGUUUAAAGUAAUAGAAGAGCUUUCUUCUUAUCUCUCUCUUGUACUUAGUCUAGGGCGAGUGAGGUCCUACCUUGACAAGCAGAGAGAUAGGCUUGCUCUCUUCCCGUAGGAAGGCGAGCGCCGCACGGGCUUUUGCGAGCAAAUUCGUUAAGUCCGUGACAUCAGCAAUCUACACAAAAUGGUAAAACAAGUUUAAAAAAAGUCUAACAAGUAAUCAAAUUAACAGAUCUAAAAAAAAUAAGACUAACUUAAAAUGAUCAAAUCAACAGAUCUAAAUAAAUGAAGAAUACCAACUGAAAUUGAUCCAAUGCACAGAUCUAAAAAAAAAAAAAAAAAAAANNNNNNNNNAAAAAAAGAGACAAACAAGUAAUCAAAUUUUCAAUAACUAAUAACUUUUAGUUAUUUAAAAAAAAACUAAAUAUUGCUAGUAAUUUUCAUAUUUUCAAUUUUUUUAAUGAGAGAGGUUAGGAAUGAUCUCGUUCACAGUUUCAUACAAUUUAUCUAAGAGUUUCAAAUUUCUACAUUUUUUCAUAUUAUUGACAUGGUCAAUAUUAUCUUUAUAUAUGUUUACAACUGUCAAUAACCAAAUAAUUUUUCAAAUUUCACAUUUUCAUUUUGUUUUGAGAGAGGUAAACAAGAAAAUGAAAAUUGCAAUUCCAAAAAAAGAGUAAUAACGAAAAAAAAUAAAAAAAACAACAUGUGAAAGAUUGUGGAUUUAUGUAUUUAGGUUGCAAUAACAAAAAAAAAAAAAAAAUCAAGAAACAAAUUUCCAAACAAACAACAUAUGAAAAAUAGUAAAUCUAUUUUUUAUGUUGCAAUAACCAAAAAAAAAGUCAAAAAAAAAAAAUCUGAGAAGAAAAGGUCAUACCUCGUUUGAUAGAAAGGGGCGACGCGGAGAGCGGGGGGCGGCGUGGGAGGUGGGUUGUUUGCACGCACAGAGGGCGGUGGGGCGACGCAGAGAACGGGGGGGCGGCUUGGGAGGUGGGUUGUUUGCGCGCACAGAGAAGGAGGAGGUCUGGACUAGGGAGUGUAGAGAGAGAACGGGUGAGAUAAGGAGAGGUGGGAAGACAUGAAGAGAGAGAGAGAGAGAGAGAGAGAGAGAGAGAGAGAGAGAGAGGAGAGGGCAACAAAUGGGACUUAACGGGCUAUCUUUCCGUUAACCUCCCAUAAAAGCCCCGCACAGAUCUCAAAGCGAUCUAGUGGUUAAAAACUCACUAGCAUGAGUCAGACUGUGCUAUCAAUAGCAUAGCAGCCUGACUAUAUAUAUAUAUAUAUAUAUAUAUAUAUAUAUAUAUAUAUAUAUAUUUCACUACAGAAUCUGUAUUUUCAUAUAUGCUCCUCAACUGCUAAACGUCUCCAACAUAUACCCGCUGACAAAAAUGCGCCUCCUGUUCAAAAGCUUUUUCUAACAGGUUUUAACUACCCUCCAUGAAUUCAAUUANUAUAUAUAUAUAUAUAUAUAUAUAUAUAUAUAUAUAUAUAUAGAUAUUGAUUUUAAUUAUGAUAAUUUACUGUAAUAAUACCUUCCUGCCGCAUCUCGCGGGCCCUUAACUAGUAUGUUAUGAAUCCUUGGUAGGGAGGCCCUAAAGUUAAUUAAGUUCUCUGUUGGUGAUCUCUGGUUGAUGGGUAGUUGAGAUUGCAGCUGAGGAUUGAGGAGAAAAGCUUUAGAACUAUCUUAAUUGGUGUUUCAUUCCAUCCAUACAGUAAUUAAGGUAAGAGUGAUGAAUUUAAAGGUUGAAUAAAAAUAUUUUAAGAUAAAUUACACCGCCGUUGAUGGUAUAAAUAGUUUGAGUUAUGUAAUAUGUUGUACAGGGGUGAGAUUGGCUGCGAUUGAUCUGUUGGCGUAGAGCUGUGAGGGUUGAGAAGAUGAGAUUAGAGUAUUUCAAUGGAGUAUUGAUUAGGUCGGUAUAUGUUGCUGAAAUUAGCAAGCUAAUUAAUACGUCUAUAUUGCAUGUUCCAGUUGAGAUUCUUUGGUCCUAGUAGGCAUAUUAAACUUGGUAUUGUAUUUUUACUAACAAGAAAGUAUGCUAGAGAGCUUUUAUUUGGUUUGGGAUUAUGUUGAGCUAGCAAAGUAUACUGGUGACAUUGAAAGCUUAAAAUUAGUGUCUUGCAUAUUCUAGUUUCUUUGAGACAUACACUAUGCUAUGACAUGUAGGAGAGUAAUCUGUGAUUAGUGGUUUCAGAUAUACUAUAAUGCCGAAGGGCAAAUGAAAAUAAAAUAUGUGAAAGUGCUAAGGCGCAAGUGAAAAGAGAAAAUAUAAAAGUGGUCUUUGUGAUAGUAGCAUGUAAAAAGGAAAGCUCUAGUGAUCUUGUUAAUCGUUGCAUAUGACUAUAGCUUGCAAGAGCUAAAUUGAGCUCAACAAUGCAUAUAGUACUUUUAUUUGUGUGGGACAGCGCCCCAGUGAGAUGGCUUUCGAAGUUGGUAGCUUCUGAGAUAGUUCAUGGUUCCGAUUGAGUGCUGAAAUGGAGGGAAUCCUUGACCUUGGAGGUGUGAAAUGUUGUCCAAGAAGCGAGGUGUACGCUUGAUCGAACUUAUGAGUCAGUCUGUAGGUGAUAUGGCAUUUCUAUUAGUUACUAUACUUGAUGCAUGAUGAGACAUAUUUACAGUUCCCAGUAUUUCUCUUAUAGAGACAUACUAGCAGGUGUACUAGUAGGUAUUUGUUUACUAUUCAAUACAGCAUGUGGUUGCUAAAGUCUUCCAUUCCAGGUAAGCUAGCUAGGAAUGCAAUGUCGCCAUGUCUAUCCUUCUUAGAAAGUAGAUAAACCUCUCUCCUGUCUAUUUAUAAAUCUAUCUCGAGUAGACCUAAUGGUGUAGGUCGUCGUUAUUGUCGAUUGCACUAAAAACUUUUUUUCAGUAAUUUUCACACCCUAUUAUUGUUGGUUUUAUUUUAGAGCUCUCAAUACCAGAGUGAUCGAGAUAAGGGGAUCGCGAGGUAGAUAGCAUCUCCUACCCUGAAUGAGUGCUAAUGUAGGACCCUUCCCUGAUUUUAUAGCUAGCUAUAGAUAUUGGGCCCAAAGGGAUAGAUAAUGUUGUAUAAAUUAUCGUUAGGUUGUGUUAUAGCGACAUGUACAGUUGUAACUAUAAUUGUAUAGCUUUGUCUAAACUCUGAUACAUCUUUUAUAUAUAUAUGCUCUAUAUAUACUGUCGUGCCCGGGUUGCAGCCGAACUCGAGCUCGCUAAUAGACCCACUGCAUACAUAGGAACCAGUAUGUACAUGAAGCGGGAGAAGUACCUAUAUGCAAAACAAGAGCUAUAACAAGCAAGUACCAGAGCUGAAAAAAGAAAUGCUAACAACUACUAAGUAAUCCAUUAUAUAUAGAUAAGUCCAAAAUAGUACAUCUGAUAAAUCCAUCAAUUACAAAACGAUCUCCCCAAAGCUAAAAGUAAAAAAAUUAACAUCCAUAUGUACAAUAAACUACUCAAAAAUUGCCACUAAAAAGGUCCCCUCUAACUUGCCCGUACAAGUAGGCAGGGAUCUAACUUGCAACUCUCUUACCUUGAUUAGUAGCAGCUAUAGAGGCAGAAGACUAUAAGAAAAUAUAGCAACAAAGGGAGUGAGAACUACUAAAAUAAGUAGUCCUCAGUGGGUACCGUCACUGAUGCUGAUGGCCUACCCAUUAAGUCUAUAAAAGGAAAAGUAAAGAACUGUGUAAGUGGAAGAGACAAAAGCAGUAAAAGUUGAAAAGAAUCUACAACUACAAUGCUUCUAUACUACUAGUGCUCAAAAUGAAACUACCAGAUAAAACGAAUGCCUUAACUAUCUAUCGGGUACUCACAAUCCCAAACCCAAUCCAAAUGACCGCCUACAAGGUCCGGUCAAGCUUAUGCCAUCGUACCACCACGACACCACCCUCGAGGUAGCCGCCCUAAGUAGGACGCCCAAAAGGGUUGCUAUAACACUACUACGUAAAAAGCCUUACUCUGGAGUGGCAUUCAGGGGAGCUACCCAGCCGAGCAAAAAGCAGUCUCUAUCGAGCUCAAAUCUGGCACAUACAAACUAUAGUCGAUGCGAAUGAUCAAUCAUAUCAUAAAACUAUACUCUACGUGUAAUAUAUGGCAUCCUGGAGUUGCGAUGUCAACUUUGAUCCAGGGGAUCAAAGUGAGGAUUGAGCUAGUUGGACGUCUUCCCCGAGUGAUUUUGGACGCGUGAGAAUGAAUUCCGAAGAUAAAUAAGUGUUUCGGCGCAAAUUGGGCGCGAAACGAAAUUUAAAAGGAAUUUGCGGAUUUCCGACGCUAACUUUGAUUAAAAGAAUUAAAGUGAGCAAAAUAAUAUACAAUGGUGUGAGAUACCAUUUGAUUGGACUUAAGGGUGUAAAAUAUAAGUUUGGAAUGGCUCGUGUUGAAAUCGGAGCGAAACCGGAAGAUUUAGAAUUUUCUGUAAAGGACGGGACUGAGAAAUUAGCAGAAAAUGCACAGUGUCAGAAAAUUAUGAAACUUUGCGGAGAUGUCAGAAAUGGUUUUAUGAGGCUAGCUUUGAAGUUUCAUAUUAUUCUGACACCUGUAGAGAGAGAAAUAGCAUCCGAAAGUUAUCUGAUGAAGAUUACAGUUCGGGACAGUUCGCAGUGACCAAACGGGGUCGAAACUGAAAUGUUAAAAUUUCAGUGGACUUGUUAAGUAAAAACGAGCAUUCCUAUCAAAUUUGAGCUCAAUCGGACUUUUAGAAGAGCCUGCAAAAGGUAUCUAAUCCGUGCGACUAAACGAAAUUAAGUCGAGGGGCAAUUUGGUAAUUACACAUGGCUUAGUGGAUUUCCACUAAACCUGCCAGCAGGGGAGCCCUCAGCCAUCCUUAUCCCCCUCUGGUUCCAUACGUAGAGAGAGAGAAAGAGAAAAGAGAGAGGGAAGGUGAAGAGAAGAAGAAGAAGUAGAAAAAAAAAAAGAAGAAAGGUGAGUUUUUGGUUAUCUCUCUCUCCCUGUUAUCUCUCCCUCUCACCAUCUCCCUGCUGCUACUGGUAGUAGCAGCAGCAGUAGCUAGUUGCAGCAGCAAGCAGCAGCUUUGCUGCUUAGCAGCAGCAGCGGCAGGAGCAGCAGCAGCUGCAGCAGCAUGCGCAGCAGCAGCAGCUGCAGCAGCAGCAGUAGGGCAGUAGCAGCUCAGCAGGAGCAGCAGCAAUCAGCAGCAGCAACUUCAGCAGCAGUAGCUGCUGUUAGCAGCAGCAGCAGCCAGUCAACAGCAGCAGCAGCAGCUCAGCUGCAGGGCUGCAGAGAAAGAAAAGAAAACAAGAAAGAAAGAAAAGAAAGAAAAGAAAGGAAAGAAAAGAAAAGAAAGCAAGAAAGAAAGAAAAGAAAGAAAGAAGGAAAGAAAAAGAAGUGAAAGAGAGAUGCAAAAUAAGUUAGGAUUUCUAUAAAAACGGGGUUUAAAUGAAAACUGACCCCGGCAAUGCACUUUUGCAAAAUAAGAGUCCUGAUGCGAAAUUGACCGCGUGUAAACCAAAUUGAGGGUAAAAGAAACGCGUUGGCGAAGUCGGUUCGGCAAUCCGACGAACCUACGCAAAGAUAUCGCCAAAAGAAGGUUUUCGGCUAUAGUUGCCGCUUUAUAUAGCAUUGAAAUGCUAACUUGUAAAUUAUGAGUAAUGACUCUAGUUUAAUCUUUUCUAAUCCUUUAUAAGUGAAAAGUAAACAUGCCCAAGAGUCUAAAUUGACUUUCCGACAGGUCGACGACACGGUAAUUACGGUAGAGACCGCUCUAGUCCUAUUUGCACGAAGUCGCGAGAGAUAGUCGUCGACGCUUUCCGAGACGUGGAUUCUAGUUGAUUGACACCACUACAGGUGGGUGGUGCUAUCCGAACUCUUUGAAUCACCUUUUAUGUCUAUAAUUCUUCGUUGAGCAUAUUUAUAUUUGUAGUCAUGCAUUAUAGGGUGUUUGGCAUUGAGCGAGUGGAAAUGUGAAUUCCUAUCAACAAUAAGAAUUUGUGAACAUUAGAAUGUGGACAUAGAACCCUAUGAAUAUAUGAAACUGUAAAGGACCAAGACAAUAGUAAACUUGGUGACAUCAUGACUAGAGAUUUGGUUAGCAUCGAGAAAUGCAAUUAUGAAACUAAUAUAAAGAACUAGUUAGCGUUAAAUUGUGACAUUGUUGUCAGUUGAAUCCUCUAAAGGGGGAUCAGAUCUUACUCACAUAGUCUGUUUUCUUAGCUUGGUGGUGGUCGCUCCCCCCAGGCAGUGAGCUCCGGAGUAGUCACUUGUUGGGCUAACGUACUUGCCCCAGGACUAACGUACUUGUCCGACAGACGGUCCCAUCGGGAGGCAGCUUAGGGCCCGUGAGGGAUUUCGUUGGUGAGUUAUUGUUAACCAAGGGGUUAACCACUGAAUUGGAUAAAUUUAUGGGCUAACGUACUUGCCCCAGGACUAACGUACUUGUCCAGCUGUUAACCAGAGGGUUAACCAAAAGAUUGGGUAAAGUUAAUGAGAAGCAUGCAUGCAUAUUUACAGUUUUCAUAUCUGUUACUUCUUUCAGCUUUGUACAGGCAUUGUAAUAGUUACAUGUUAUAGUUGGUACUAUCUGCUUACUUUUCUUGCCUACAUAUGCCUGAGUAGACCUAGUGGGUGAGUCGGCGAAGUCGGCAGCCGAACCCACUGGGAACUUUCUUGUAGUUCUCACACCACUAACCAUACAGGUUCCAGUGCGAGUUUCGAGGCCGAGGAUCGUGGCAAGGGCCCUGCAGCUUAGCUAGCUGACACCAGAGUUUAGCAAUUACCAUUUUGAGUUCAUGUAUCAUCCAUUUUGAUGUACAGAGACAUGUAAAUGAAUGUAUAAAAAGCAUGUAUAUAACUAAAUGUUUCAGUUACAAGUUCAGUUGUGUAAAAUUUUAAGUUACAGUGAAUUUCAUUGUACAGUUAGUUUACUAUCACUUGUGUUUGUUGCUUGCUUUCGUGCAAGCCAUGUAUAUUGAAAUAUGAUACUGGGAAUUAUUUAUUUCUUUAAACAUGUACUCGUUGUUGUUGAGCCUUGGGCGAACAGAGGAGGUGCUGUUCGUUCGGCGUCUGUGCGCGGGCCCGGAUCGACCAAAUUGGCGAUAACGGGACGUGACACUACGUGUCCCAGGCACAAUCCAAUGCAAAACGCGAAGAUCCAGGACCACCGUCAACCCAUACGGUACACUACUAUGUGACUUAAGCAACCGACUGCUGUAAAAAUCCACUCGGCCCCUCAGCACGAGCCUAAAGUUAUCCUACACUAAUCUAAAGGCUCACAACACUCUAACCAAGGUGAAAAAUAGGUAAUAAAAGCAACAUAGUGUAGGUUUUCUACAUUAUUGAGGUCUAAUUUUAGUAGUUAAAAUAUACCACAUAGAGGUUUAACAUGCUCAAGGUUCAUAUUUCAGCAUUACCCAUGCUAAUCCAAAGAUUCCAAUUAAGCUAGAAUAUCCAACUUUGAUAAAUUAACAGCAUGCAUGCAUAAUUUUGCUAGACAUAAUGGGAAUUCCGUCGAAUUCGAUAAAUUAAACCCACCUCAGGAGCUAAUCCAAUAGCGGCAGUGACUUGACCACCAAAUAAACCUUCCUCAUCCUCCAACUAGUAGGAAAAAUGAGAGCGAAGGUCUCACAAUCCAACCGGAAAAGAACCAAUCUAGCCCAAAAGCAAAAAUGGCAUCAAUGCUAGAAUUUGUGGCUAAAAACCUGAAAUUAGACUCAAUGUGGAUCAUCCCACUUUACUACUAGCUGAGAACAACUCCAACACGCCAAACCAUACUAGAAAAGCUGAUCAAAAUCAGCUUAAACUCCUAGCUGCCACUUUCGAAUCUAAAAAAGGAGGCCCAAAUAAGCAAUUCUAGAAUUUGAGUAUUAACUCACAAUAUACAUCAAUUGAGGCCAAGAAUUAACCUAUAGAUCCAAUAAGAAUAGAUCUAAAUCUACUAGAAGUGGAGGGAAAGCCAACUAAGAUCCCAUAAUAUCACAGCUAGAAAGAUUUGGAUCUAGAAAUCCAUGGAAAACUCAAAAACGCUAAAAAUCAACUUCAAAGUCCAUAUUUCAACAAUUAGAGACCAAUUUCUCCACAAUCUCUCCUUCAACUUUCUAAUUGAAUCAAGUCACCACAGUAAUUAGAAGCAUCAAAAUCCCACAAAACACCAAACUACUACUGGUGGUGCUAAAGUUCCUAGUGUACUACCCAACCUGCUGGGAGAAAUAGAGGAAUUUGACGGAUUUGUAGGAUCAAAUGUUGUAGAAUCGGAGUUCACAAGGAAGGGGCAGGGACAAGAGGUUGCUUGGAUCCACAUGUUUUCGUAGAAGCAUUGGUGAGGUAUAAUGAGCCCAAAGAAAAUUAGAACUAAAUCUAUCACUGCAAAAGAUCUAGGAUUUAGGCACCCUAAACCGACUUCUAGGGGCCUGAAUCUACCAAAAUUUAGUCUGGAUCCCAAACCGGGCCCUCCACAAAAGGGUCCAAAAUCUUAUCUUGUGCUCUAUCCAAAACCGCCUCUUGCCACGUGUCAAUAAUGGUCAAUAAUCACGAAGUCGACCACCAAGCAAAUUCAGGGUCAACAACUGGGCACCUAAAUGAGGGCCUGACAUUAUUCCAGUAGCAAAUGCAAUCCAGCACAGGAAUUCUAGGUACCCGAUUCCACCUUCUGGUCGCCCGAAAUUGGCUAGAACUUUAAUUUGGCUAGUUUCAGUGCUCUGAGUCCUUUUUCACGUCCCUUUUGAGCCAAAAUGACUCUGACUAGUCCCAAUACUCUGCAGAUGUGUCAACCAGCUGGUGCUACUGUAGUCAUUUUGACAGUUAACCCUCAAGGACACUACAUAUAUUAUUUAUUUAGGUCUGUUAGCUUAUAUGCAGGUUUUCGCUGUAAUUUCGAGCUUGGCAUAUUUAGUUGGUAUCAGAGUCUAAUGUGUUAAGUGGACUUAGUAAAUUGUAAGCUGUUGGCAAACCUUAAGCGUGUAAGACUUUGAGUGACAUGACUUGUAAUGAAAGUUGGUAAAUUGGGUCAUGUGAUAUCUUCAAAGGUGUAAUGAAGAGUAGCCGAAGGUGUUGGAUCUUUCCUUUCUUGAUAAUAUAUGUUGGCUCAAACAAUAUAGUGAAAUAGGUGGAAAAAGGGGAUGUCCUUCCAAACUUUCAUUUGAUUGGGAUGAGUUGUGUUUUAUCAAGUAAUUAAUGUUGUUCUGUUCCAAGUGGCUGAGAUGUCAUAGCAUGAAUAACCACUGACGAGAGCAACACCGACACAGCCUGAGCAGCAAGGCCCAGCUAGGUCUAGUGGAGUGCAGGAGCUUCACGAUUGGAUGACAAGAUUGGUAGGGUCAAUAAGGAGGCAGGUCGAGGCUUCCCAGCGCUAGGAAGAAAAAAAUUAAAGGAUAGCAUGAUUUGCUGUCAUGGUACGCUAUUGCGACAUAGGAAGUUCAUGAGUAGCGUUUGCCUCCAUCUAUUGCUAAAAUAAGAGCACCAGUAGUGGCUACACUAGUUGCCACAUGCCCUCCACCGCUGGACAUUUUAGCAGCUGCUACUCUUAUGACUACUGCAUUAGUGGCCGAUCAUGGUAUAUCAAAGGCAGAACAGGAGCGAGUCCGAGUUAGUUUGGCAAACUUUCAAUAGUUUGGCCUACCAAUGUUCAAUGAGUGAAAUGUAGAUCCCUAGGUAGUAAAGGCUCGGAGUGGUGCUAUAGACAAAAUAUUUGAGGAAUUGUACAUUGUUGAGCAGGACAGAGACCACCUAACAGUGCAUUGUUUAGAGGGUGAUGUACAUUGCUGGACGAGAGUUUGAUCAAGCCAACCUGAGUGUCCCUCUCCUAUGAUGUGGGAGUUUUGGAAAAUGCUAUUUGGUGCACAUUUUUCAGAAAAUGUGAGGAAGAAAUUAGAAGAUGAUUUAAGAAGUUGUAACACGGGGAUUACAAGGGGAGUAUGAGAGGGAAUUCACUCGCAUUCCUAACUGCAUUCCUUUUGCAAUGCGAGAUGAAUGGCACAAGACAUAUUGUUUUAAACAGUGGUUGCAUUAUGAGAUUUAUCAGUUUGUGCAACGUUAACAUCUGCAAACCUUAGAUGAGAUUAUUAGGAUGGCAUCUAGGUAUAGAGGCACAAUAAUAAUGCGUGAAGAAAGUGAGCUCUAGAGGAAGAAAGAAAUAAGACUCAGCUACUUGAGAGUUUAAGGGGAAAGUCCAAGUUCUAGGGGGCCUUCGAAGUAUCCACUACCUUGUUAUUAGGCGUCACAACCCUACCCACCAAGCUUGGAGGAGCAUUAACCAUAUUGAAGCCGCAGAAGCAGCCAAUAACGAAACCUUGGGCUGCACUCCAACAGCCCUCGCAAUAGCCGCGGUUGAAGCCGCUCUAAACACCGUCUCCGCAGAGAUGAUCGCAGUAGCACUCGUCUCUAUGUAGGGAGUGUGGCCUGGGCAUCGGCAGCUAAGACAAUUGCCUAGGCCCAAAAAAUAAUAUCACUUGGCCCUCCAAAUCCCUACCUGAUAGGAGUGGCUACACCCGGUGAACGUCACCUUGCUACUAGAUGUCUGUACAUGUACACCGCCACCACUCCCGACUAAGACACAAGACUGUGCAAAAACUGUAACAUGCAUGGAAUAAUAACCAUGCACCUCGAGAAUAUUAAAGCUCGACCAUAACACCGGAACUCAAUCGCAACAACCCACACUCACGUGCUAUUAUCUUAGGUCUUCCUAUGGGUUAUCAUAACCAGUGGUUCAGUUGCAUUUCAAGAAAAAUCAUGAGUGAAGUCGUGAUUGUACCAUUCGCUCUAAUACUACCUUAAUCUAUCAUUCCCUCGGGUCUAUUUUUUAAAACAAAUUCGAAAUCGAGCUAUCUUUAUAAAUCAGAGUAAACAGAAAACUGCCUAUUUUUUUAAAAAAAACCUUGACCCCUAAGGGUGCAGCAGACUCGCCAUAAAUACAAGAGAUUUUCAAAACAAACGGACAGAGUCUUCUCUGUAUUUGCACGGCAUGGCACAUGUACAAUUGUCAACCACGACCCCCAUCCACACAAACAACAAUCAUGAGUGACACAAAUUAUCAUUUCACUUCAUACAGCUAGCUGUCCUUAGUCACAACCAUUCCACAUCAAUUUCACAUUCAUUCCUACUAGUUGAAAGCGCAUCCCACACGAAGGCUUCACUUUAAAAUUCUAAUAUUUUGAAAAUACACGAAAAGCCGAUGAACCACUUUGAAAACCGUUUCCCACAUGGAAACCUUAUUUAAAGUAAAUAAGAUACCAUGAAGGGUGGAAAUCCAUCAUUCGAAAUCAAACUUUAAAACCCCAAGUAACCAAAACCUCAAGUUUUCAAAAUCUAUAAAUAUCCAAAACCUCACAUGGAUAAACAACAACUGAACCACGACCGUCUAUCUACUACUUGUGAAACGGGGUGGAAUCUGGACUAUCAAUAAUGUCUAUCUAGUGAUAUGCAUAAAAUAUAAGAAGAAUCCAAAGAUAAUACCGUAAGUCGGGACCUAUAUCACAAGACCACUAUCUACGUCCAUACAUAUUAUCCCGACCCUCACCGCCCGAGCUACUUGAGAAAAGUGGGGGGUGAGAAUAUGUAAACAAGUCUACCCCUUCCAGUGGGUACCGCAAGCCGACAAAAAUAAGCUGUACCCACCGAUAGAUUGUGCGGUGAACAGCAGUAGUAACAAGUAAAUCGAGUAUAAUAAUAAUGAAUAAUAUCCAUAGAUAAUCACCAAAGAAGCUGCUACUAUAAAGUGAGAUAAUAAAGCAAUGACCAACUAUAAUCAAUAAUCAAACUAGUGCAAUAGCAAUGAUAACUGAACUGGAUACAACCGUAAUAAUGGUAUAAAUAACCAUUACUGCAAAGAAAGAUAGAGAAAUGACUAUGCGUCAACUGCAAUUGAUAGCACAAGUAUACCCAAUCUAUACCGCCAUGUUGGUCUAAGGACCUCAGGAAAACCACAACUGCUCUGUUUGUCAUAUAACCCUGGCAAAUGGCCGCUGGGCUCACGGGUUGGUAACCGACCACUUUUUCGAAAAAGAACACACUCUUGUGGGGAAUCAGACAGCUGGUGUUCAUGAAAUGCUGUCGAACUGUGGCGAUCAAUGCAAAUAUGAUCAAUAGCCAAUCGUCGGCGAAUGGCCGACAAUCACCGCCCCUCGGGGCACACCGACCAACAGGUCAUCGAAGCUAUACAGAAACAUAGGUACUGACCACUCACGUCAACUAGGAUGGACAAGCUCAAUAUCAUCUCAAGUAUGUAAGUACCGACCAUUCAGGUCAACAAGAAAGUACGAGGUCAACAACGAUAAAAGUAUAGAGGAACCGACUACUCUGGUCAACUGGAAAGUGUGAGAUCAAUGACACUAGAGAUCAAUAACACUAUAAGUACACAGGCACGGACCACUCAGGUCAACAGGAAUAUAAAUGCAAGUGUCACUACCGCUCUACUUCUAUGUCAAGGCAAACAGGAGAGUGUACAAAGUAAAGCAAGGGUCGAAAUCAUGUGGUGAAGAUCUCAAGCACUGAAUAUGUAUAUGUGUAAGCAGUAAAAGAUAAAGAUAAAGGGAACAUCAUCGAGCGUGCACCACUGAAUCGACUUCGGAUCGAAGUACCCACCUGUGUUCGUCGCGGCGACUAGCUCCUGUGGGACGAAGGACGUUGACCGGACCUACGAUAGGUCCACCGAGUCAGGAUCUAAUCCACAUGACUCAAAACACAAUGCUCACAGACCCAAAACCACAUGCGAAAUCAAUUUCCCAAAACUGAUUCCCAAAACUCGUCGAGAAUCCCGAAAAUGUGUAAGGAUGCCCUCGGGACCCAUGAAACAUUCUGAAACACACUGACUCACACUGUGAGUCAACCGCUAUCUCGAAACACACCUAUUUAGGUGCUAGGACAACAAUCAUAAGUCUCUAAGUCAACUCGAUCGUCGUCGAUCGACCGCUCACCACCGGGCUUCCGUAAGUGUCCACUUUGGCACCGAAAGCCUCUACCACUCUUCGGUCGCCUCCGAACACAUGAGGGGACCACGGCAGCCAGCCAAUGAGGCUAGGUGAUGAUUUCUAGGGCAACCACGAAGCCGAAAACUCACUGCGAUGUGAAACCGCAUUCUGCAGGUGAUUUCGCCGAAAAGGCAUCGAAACCCUACUUUCAAUCUCACAGAGGCUUUAAAACUUGGAAGACAAGUCCAGAAGGUCACAAAUAAUGAUUACACACUGCUCGAGGUAGCCCACAAAGCCCUAAUUACAAAAAGGCCCCUAAGGAACCAACUAAUUGCAACUUUAUAUAGAAAAAAAGCAAUAUUUAGGGCCAUUAUCGAAAACCACACACUUUCGGACGUAGCAAGGGCACCGGCUGAUUGGUCUCGAUGUGCUGGACACCGUGCUCACAGUCCAGAGCGCACAUGACAGCCAAGAAGUGCUGUAGAUCCUUGUCAAGUUCAGUGCACAAAGGGCUCCGGUUGCAGGGAAGCCGAAACUCAACGGUGGAGCGUUGACGAUAGCAACAGAGGUGGGCACGAUGUUCAGCAAGUCGAGGGGUUCGCCUUGUUUGCCUUUGAAACGAUCAGGGAGCGUUGGACUACCGGGAACAGAGAGGGGCCUGCCAUUGAGCCCUAGAUUAAGGGGCUGCGGGCUCUCCUACCGGUUGCCGGGGCCUUUCGGCACGCGCUACGGCUAGGGUCGACGGCGGACGGGGAGGGAAGCACGAUGCUUCCCUCGGCCGGUGGCAACGGUGAUUGGAGAAGCUCGGCGAGCACAGAUCCCAGCCAGGCUAGGGAGAGCCGGGGUAGGUCGGGUCGUUGGCGCCGAACCUCCAGAGGCCAAGGAAGUCGAUGGCGGGGAUCGGCGACGGUGGCGGCGACAACCAUGGAUUUGAGGAGAUGAGCUCCUCUGCCCCAGGUCGCCGAGGAGGAGAUGCUGUGGCUGCGGCGGCGCCGACGGAGCACGAGGACACCGGGGGAGUUGGCCGGAGCACGACGGCACUGGGGAAGGUCAGGAAAGGGUGGUUUGAGCCCUCCUCUAUGCUCAGGCUCCAAGAACAAGGAGAGAAUGAGAGAGAGGAGAGAAAAAUGAGAGAGAAAGAGAGAGAGAGAGAGAGAGAGAGAAAGAGAGAGUUGGAGAAGGGUUCGCGGUCACCGGCAGCGGUCUUCGGUAGGGUGGCAGCGCGUGGUGCAGUGGUGGGGAGGUAAAAUGGGUGGCUGUGGUGGAGGUGGAGCAAAGAGGCUGGGGUUUAGAGAAGGGAAGGAGAAGAACCCUAAAUGGGUUUAAGUUCUCAUGUGGCAUUUUUACACAGAAGCCCUCAAAAACUCCAAAUACCCAGCCAAGCCCCUCACAGCACACGUAAAAUGCAGAAUGGCAACCCCAUGUGCGAUUUCGCACAAUUCGAAGCAUAAAAUAUUGGGGAUUUUCAAGAAUUCAAAUUUUGCUAAUUUGACCCCAUCUUAGUUAUCGUGUAAUUGCGGUAAAUCCAUCCAUCAGAUUUACGAACAGACUGUGCCAGCACAUUCAGCACUUUCGGGCUUCAAGAUCAUGCUUUCGCUUCACGUGAUUUGGUCACGGAUUCGCGAAGAUCCGAUCCAUCCCUUUUUCUCUCUCACACACACGCAUAUAUAUAUAUAUAUAUAUAUAUAUAUAUAUAUAUAGUCCGGCUACUAUUCUCUUGUGAGUACGAUCGCCAUCGUACUCAUAUGUUGUUUUCGAUGAUAAAGCUUCCGAAUCGACAAUCCAUACCGUUAAACAUUAUCUAGAGCAUUUAAAACUUCUAGAAAUUAAAUUUCAUAAUUUUUCAACAUCAUUUACCUUACGUCAAAAGCUCACAAAAUUGACAAUUUUUAACGGCCGAUAUGGGAUACUUGCAAGUUUAACGGUAUAAAAGAAUUGAAAUAUGUUGAAUUUUUGAUAGAAAAUUCUAUUCACUAUCUAGAUAAAGAUCAAUAACUCCGAUCUUAAAUUGAAGGAUCCGAUCAUCCAUUUUUAGGACGUCGUUCGAUUUUGACCGUUCAUUUUAUGCCCGUUUGAUGGACUUUAUUAUGAUUUCAAAAAAUUACGAAAUUUUUUUUUGUGAAGUUUCAAAUGCUCUAGAUCAUAUUUAACGGAGUGGAUCGUCGAUUUGGAAGCCCCAUCAUCGAAAACAAUACGAAGGGCCCAAUACUCAUAAGAGUAUAGUACCCCUACUAUAAGUAUAGUUAAUAUAUAAUAUCUAUAUAUAAUAAUAUAUAUUAAUAUAUAUAUUAUAUAUAUAAUAUAUAUAUAUAUAGUUUUAUGAGUUGAGCUAGAAUGCUAUCGAGUCAACAAAUCGGGCCUUUCGUGUGGCCAACAAUUUUGUUUUCCAAUGAUGGCAGACCUGUCAAAUCGACGAUCCGCACCGUUGAAUAUGAUCUAUACCACUUAAAGUGUCUAGAAACCAAAUUUCAUAUUUUUUUGAUAUUGUUUUCUUAUCCAUCGAGUGGAUACAAAAAUGAACGGCUGACAAGAAAUAUCUUUUAAUAAGUGAUGAUAAAAAUUUUAUAAUCAAGAUCGAGAGUAUAGAUGUUGUUCUAAAUAGUUUAAAGAGUUUUCUAACUAAAUUCAAUUGAUUUGGAUAUCUUUACACCAUUAAACGCGAAAAUGGCUCAUAUCGACCGUUAAAAUUAUAAAUUGUGAAACUCUUUGAUCAUUAGGUUAAUAAUGUCGAAAAAAUUUGAAAUUUGGUUUCUAGAUACUUCAAAUGGUAUAGAUCAUGUUCAACAGUGCCGAUCAUCGAUUUGGAGGCUCCAUCAUCGAAAACAAUUGGGUGGCAACGGAACCUGUUUGCUACUGAUAGUAUUCUAGCUCAACUCGUUAUAUAUAUAUAUAUAUAUAGAGUCCGACUAUGGUGCUUGUAAAAGUACCAAGCACUUAGUGCUUGUGAAUUUUUUACCGUUAGAUCUACGCCUUUGAUCAUUUUCACCCAUUAGAUUAUACUAUUCAACCAACCACCUACUCAACCCAAGGGGGCCCACAUCAUCCUAAUCACACAUUUAUUAAUCGAAGGGCUAAAAACUUACAAGCACAAAUGACUUGGUACUUUUAAAAGCAUAGGAGCUCAAUUAUAUAUAUAUAUAUAUAUAUAUAUAUAAGAGAGAGAGAGAGAGAGAGAGAGAGAAGAGAGAGAGAGAGAGAGAGAGAGAGAGCCCGGCUACUAUACUAUUAUGAGUACGAUCGCCCUUGUACUUAUAAGUUGUUUUCGAUGAUAGAGCUUCCGAAUCAACGAUCCACACCGUUAAACGUUAUCUAGAGCAUUUGAAACAUCUAGAAAUCAAAUUUCAUAAUUUUUCGACAUCAUUUACCUUACGAUCAAAAGCUCACAAAAUUAACAAUUUUUAACGGCCGGUAUGGAAUGCUUGCUAGUUUAACGGUGCAAAAGAAUCCGAAUAGGUUGAAUUUUUGAUAGAAAAUUCUAUUCACUACCUAGAUAAAGAUCAAUAACUCCGAUCUUAAAUUGAAGGAUCCGAUCAUCCAUUUUUAAGACAUCGUUCGAUUUCGACUGUUCAUUUUAUGCCCGCUUGAUGGACUUUAUUAUGAUUUCAAAAAAUUACGAAAUUUUUUUUUGUGAAGUUUCAAAUGCUCUAGAUCAUAUUUAACGGAGUGGAUCGUCGAUUCGGAAGCUCCAUCAUCGAAAACAACUUAUGAGUACGANAAUUUUGACCGUUCAUUUUAUACCCGCUUGAUGGACUUUAUUAUGAUUUCGAAAAAUUACGAAAUUUACUUUAAAGAAGUAACAUAUAAGUCUGGAAUGACUCGUGCUGAAUUCGGAAUAAAAACAGGAGAUUUAAAAUUUAAAGUUUCAUGUCAUUCUGACACCCGAAAAGUAAAAAAUAAUAUCCGACUGUUAUCUGCUAGAGAUUACAGUUUGGUAGAGCUUUUGGUGACAAAAAAUGGUUCAAACUGGAAAGUUAAGAUAUUUUAUUUCUUAUUAAGUAAAACCGAGCCUGUUUGUCAAAUUUGAGAGAAAACAGACAUUUAGAAGGGCUCCGGCGAAAAGUAUCAGAUUUCGAGCUGCUAAACUGAAAUUGUGCUAGUUAAUGUGAAUAGUGUGUUGUUGAGGGGGCUACUUGUAAAAAGGGUAUUCUUCCCUUUUUUUCUUCUUCUUCACAGCCAGCACACUCCACAAUGUACACCCACACGUUUGGAGAGGGAGAGAGAGAAACCCUCCCUUUUCUCUCUCUAAAUAUCUCUCUCAUCUUUCUAAAUCUCUCUCUUAAAUUCGCGGCGUUGGCAGAGAGCGAGCUUGUGAACACGUUGGAAGCGACGGAUCGAGUCUUCGUGCGCCCGGUUGAGCGGCGUGCUUUCGAUUCGGCGUUUGCAAUUUCGGUAAGUGUUUAGGAUUUGGUUUAAUCAUUAAUGCUUAGUAUUCUAGUAAUCUCUAAAGUGUUUCUAGCAUGUCGCUCCAUUUAAUUUUGGAAUAUUUGGAGGUUAAUUUCAUGCUAGGGCUUUAAAUGAGGGUUUGGAAAUUAGAGGGUUUUGAUCUAAUUAAACCCUAUUGUUCUCUAAUUGAAGUUUAGAGAAUGAUCCUUGAAGACUCUAGGUUGAGGAUCGGCGAGUGUUCGGUUGCCGAUUGCGAGUUCGGGCCGAACCGGAUAGCCCGUGCCAUGCGAGGCCGAUUGAAAGUGUCGACAAGUAAUCGGAGAGCGUUGCGAGGUGGGUUGUGCUCAUCGAAGAUAUUAGCUUGCUUCCACGUCGAAGUAGAAUGCAGUUUUAUUGUUGAUGCAUAUAAUGGUAGUUAAUUGCAAAACAUGUAAAUGCACGAGAUGAAUGCUAAGUUGAACUACCAUUAGAUGAUAAUGAUAACGUAUGAGUUUCUUGUUGAUGCAUAUAUUACAUAAUGGUAGUUAGUUGCUAGACGAAGGCAUGAGAUGCUAUGUCAUGGACUGCCAUUAGAUGAUAAAUAUAUAUGCUAGUUGAUAAAUGCAUGUUGACAUGUUAAGAGAAUAUGUUAGAGGAUACACAUGCAUGUUGAUAUAUGUGGAUAUUAUAUAGUGUAGCAUUGUGAGCUUGACACAUGGACUUAGGAUGCAUGAGAAUUAGGUCUUGUGACAUGGAGUCCUAUAGUGCAAAGAACAUGAAAACUAUAAUACUCGAUGUGGACAAGUAGAAUGUCAAGUAGAUCGAGUGGCAUUUGGACUAGUAUAGUAGAGACACUAUGGCAUGAACAUAGGGAUAGCUGAUUUCCUGAGUCGUGGAUAUGUGCUACGUGAAACUAGUGUAGUAGAGACACUUGUUACAUUAUUGUUGGGAUUAGUGGAUUUCCCGUGUUGUUGUUAACCCUAGUAGAUAGAGUAUCCUCGAUGAGAGGAUUGGAUCAUACUCACAUAGUCUGUUUUUGCUUGGCGUGGUCGCUCCACCCAAGCAGUGGUCUCUGGAGUACUUCACGAUAGGGGCAGACGUAGUUGUCCCGCAGACGGUCUUGUUGUGCUAGUGCAUAUUCUCCUCACCUAUGAGAUUUUCAAAGUGAGUCGAGGCGUAACCUUCGGGCUAGCUAAGCAAAUCGGGUGACAAGCAUGUGAGCUAUAGUUGAAUCCCAGUAGAGUAGAUUCGGAGUCCCAGUUGAGUGGAUUUAAGGCCGAGGUGAAUGUGAGAUGUUGUCACGCCCCGAGCCCGAUCCUUUUGGCCGGUUCGAGAGCGUCGAACAGACGCCGAACGGACAGAGCCUCCCCUGUCCGCCCAAGGCUCAACAACUAGUAUCAAUAGAGUAUAAAGUUUGCAUAAGCGGAAGCAUACACAAUGGCUUGCACGAGGGCAAGCAAUAGCCAAUAGUGAAAGAAUCUACUACAUCAUCAUACAAAUAUUUGAUUAGAUUUAAAUCACAUACAUGCAUUCAACUUUAAUACAACUUUGCAUCAUUUAUUUUAUACAUCACAAGUUCUCCAAAAUAUGAUCCUUUUUUCAUUUAGCAUAAAUAAAGUCUUCUACAUCAUUCCUUUAACAUGAUCACAAUACUAACAUCAUCAAAUACAAAAGAUGAUAAUAAGGGGUAUGCAACUAUGAAAAUAAAACAUCUCGGACGGUCUCUACCUAGGGCGCGAUGCCCUUACCGCGAUCGUCUGCCGGCUCGCUCGGCCCCGGCUCUGUGGAAAUAGGGGUGUGAGAACUACAACAAAGUUCCCAGUGGGUUCGGCAACCAACCACGCCGACUAUCCCACUAGGUCUAAUCAGGCAUAAUAGAAUAGAAGAAAGAAAGUAACCAACUAACAAAUGCAACUAAUAUACCUGAACAAUAUAAAAUGCGAUGCUCGAUAUAAUGCUCAUGAUGAAUGCAGGAUCACAAUUUCUUUACCCAAUCUCUUGACUAACCCGUAGGUUU